CUGUUCGUUCUGCUGAUUGCUUAUGAUUCGACUCGCAGUGGCGGUAGCUGGGAGAGCUUGGGACUGGCCAGACGCGACCAACUCACCACUGUAAUAAGACGACUUUUAUACAUAGCUGACAGUACGCAACCUCAGUUCAGGCGCAAGGUAAUUGUUUUGCAUGUCUAUGACGAGCAUCGUCACUUUUGGACCACGAAUCUUUUUGUGUACUGA
rnacentral:misc_RNA from 1 species